AACGAACGCUGGCGGCAUGCCUAACACAUGCAAGUCGAACGAAACUUUCGGGUUUAGUGGCGCACGGGUGCGUAACGCGUGGGAACGUGCCCUUAGGUUCGGAAUAACUCAGGGAAACUUGAGCUAAUACCGGAUAAUCUCUUCGGGGGAAAGAUUUAUCGCCUUUGGAUGGGCCCGCGUAGGAUUAGCUAGUUGGUGGGGUAAUGGCCUACCAAGGCGACGAUCCUUAGCUGGUCUGAGAGGAUGAUCAGCCACACUGGGACUGAGACACGGCCCAGACUCCUACGGGAGGCAGCAGUGGGGAAUCUUGGACAAUGGGCGAAAGCCUGAUCCAGCCAUGCCGCGUGAGUGAUGAAGGCCUUAGGGUUGUAAAGCUCUUUUACCAGGGACGAUAAUGACGGUACCUGGAGAAGAAGCCCCGGCUAACUCCGUG
rnacentral:rRNA from 1 species